GACGAACGCUGGCGGCGUGCUUAACACAUGCAAGCCGAACGGAAAGGCCCUGCUUUUGUGGGGUGCUCGAGUGGCGAACGGGUGAGUAACACGUGAGUAACCUGCCCUUGACUUUGGGAUAACUUCAGGAAACUGGGGCUAAUACCGGAUAGGAGCUCCUGCUGCAUGGUGGGGGUUGGAAAGUUUCGGCGGUUGGGGAUGGACUCGCGGCUUAUCAGCUUGUUGGUGGGGUAGUGGCUUACCAAGGCUUUGACGGGUAGCCGGCCUGAGAGGGUGACCGGCCACAUUGGGACUGAGAUACGGCCCAGACUCCUACGGGAGGCAGCAGUGGGGAAUAUUGCACAAUGGGCGGAAGCCUGAUGCAGCAACGCCGCGUGCGGGAUGACGGCCUUCGGGUUGUAAACCGCUUUCGCCUGUGACGAAGCGUGGGUGACGGUAAUGGGUAAAGAAGCACCGGCUAACUACGUG
rnacentral:rRNA from 1 species